UACCACUCUCGUUAGAGGGCACACCGUCAUCCACUGGGAGUGAUUUUCUUACUUCUUUCCAGACUAGAUAGGGGAGGGAGAAACAUAUACCCUGAAGGGCAAGGGGAACAAAUACCCUUUAGAGAUAAAAAGUCUAACGAAACACUUGAUGUAAUAUGCAUGUCAAUACAGAUACAUUUCAGACCAUACAGGCUUCAUUCCACUUUUCUCUUUUUCUUUUCUUUUAUAC
rnacentral:lncRNA from 1 species